AAAGGACAGAACAAAAAUAAUAAAGUUCAUCAAGAACUUGAAUGCUAAAAACUCAAAAGAAAAGUUAGUCUAAAAACGUAAAGCAAAACAAGGUUCUUGACGUGAUUGUGCUUGAAGUUUCGGUGGUGAGGCUUGGUUUCGUUGGAAUUUGGAAGUAUUUAAACAAGUGUGGAAGGAUAUUAUGGUGCAGACAUAGGUGGACGUUAGAAUUACAGGUCGACGCUGAAGCUAUCCAAACAUAGAGCAUUCAUCCGGAUUUGGUAAUGGAAUGCUUAAAGGAGGUCUAUGAUUGAGGAUCUUGAUAAGUGAUUUCACAAGCUCAAGGAAAUGAAUCCUUAAGUCCAAGGAUGUCCUAAUCUGUACUUAUUGUAAAGUCUACUAAAUAUUGUAUAGUUUUGUAUUUGUCUUAAGGGCAGUGUCCCUAACGUAUUCUAAUAAUGUUGAGUCUAAGAUUGAAAAGAGACUUAGAGUCUAUAUAUGUAUUAUGACUUAUAUUUUAAAGUUUCUAGCAUAUGAGGUGCUAUGAAGAGUUUUAAA